GCAGACCAUUCCAGUACCUUUGCCAAGAAAACCCCAAAUGGAGGAAAAGAAAAAUGAGCACAACUGAUUGGUGCAGGUGGAAAAGGUGUGCAAUGUAUAACACCUGUGGACCUCUUAAGUCCUGGCUGAGGAAGGAAAAGAAAAGUGAGCACAACUGAUCAAUGCAUUUGGGCAAACGUGUGCAAUGUGUAACACCUGAGGACCUCUCACUUCCUGAAUGGGGUAGGGUGAUGGUGUCUUCUCACGUUUCCUUUUCAUUCCCACUUGAUCUUUAACAUCUUGUUACAGGUACUUUUAAGCUUUUGCUGAGUCAUUCUUUCCAUUUCAAUUGUCGUUAUUGUGUAUAUGCACUGUUUUCUUGGCUCUGUUUAAUUCACUUUGCAUCAGUUCACAAAGCCCUUUCCAUACUUCUCUGUACUUCUCACACACUUCGUUUCUUAUUUACAGUAAGUACGUAGCAGUAUUCCAUGCCUUUCCUGUUCCAUGUCUUGUUGAUGAGCAUCUACUGUUUCCAAAUCAUAGAUGCCACAAAAAGUGGUGUCAUAAGUAUUUUGGAAUAUAUAUGGACUUUUCGUUAUCAGUGGCAUCAUUGGGUUGUAAUGGAAUCUUUGUUUUGUAGGCUUUGGGCAUUUUUCUUUCCUUCUUUGCGUAAUUUUAAAUUACUUUCCAAAAUGGAUGUGUCAUUUCACAGC